AGCAGUGGGGAAUCUUGGACAAUGGGCGCAAGCCUGAUCCAGCCAUGCCGCGUGAGUGAAGAAGGCCUUAGGGUUGUAAAGCUCUUUUACCCGGGAAGAUAAUGACGGUACCGGGAGAAUAAGCCCCGGCAAACUUCGUGCCAGCAGCCGCGGUAAUACGAAGGGGGCUAGCGUUGUUCGGAUUUACUGGGCGUAAAGCGCACGUAGGCGGAUGGUUAAGUCAGGGGUGAAAUCCUGGAGCUCAACUCCAGAAUUGCCUUUGAUACUGGCUUUCUAGAGGCUGGAAGAGGUUAGUGGAAUUCCCAGUGUAGAGGUGAAAUUCGUAGAUAUUGGGAAGAACACCAGUGGCGAAGGCGGCUAACUGGUCCAGAUCUGACGCUGAGGUGCGAAACGUGGGGAGCAAACAGGAUUAGAUACCCUGGUAGUCCACGCCGUAAACUAUGGGUGCCAGCCGUCGGUGAGCUUGCUCAUCGGUGGCGCAGCUAACGCUUUAAGCACCCCGCCUGGGGAGUACGGUCGCAAGAUU
rnacentral:rRNA from 1 species